rnacentral:lncRNA from 1 species
GGGACCCCACUGUGUUUUUUACUUGCAUCUCCCUAAUGGCCAAUGCUGUUGAAUACCUUUCAUAAGCUGGUUAUUUUGUGGUUCUUUCAAGGAGACAGAGUCACAGAUCCUGAGCACACUCUUCGGAUUCAUCUGUGCAGAGGGCAACUCAUGAAGUCCAAGCUGCUCCCAAAGUCAAGAAGCACUGGCCAAAGCCUGCUGGGGCUUGAAAGCUAUUCAUCAAUUGAGCUAUCAGAAAGCAGGCCUUUGUCUUCUGGAGGCAUCACUGCAUGUUUACAAAUGAAACUGCCCAAGAACUGAAAUGUGUUUCAUGACAAUGCAACGUGGGGUGAAGAUGGGUGUGACAUCGACACAAGAGUGAGAAAGAAGACAGGUCAUCCGGGGACAAAUGCUGAAGCUGGGCUCCUUCAGCAUCCAUUUGAAAUGCUAUAUUUAAAAAUGCCAGUACGACUGGGCAUGGCAGUACAUACCUGACAGCCCAGCACUUAGGAUGCUGAGACAGUUCUUGGCCUCUUUGUCCUUUGCAGAAAGUUUAAAGUAGUCUGGGCCACAUAAUUCCAAAAAGCAAAACAGAAUAAAUGCAAUACACACAUGUACGUGCA